GAUGAACGCUGGCGGCGUGCUUAACACAUGCAAGUCGAACGAAGCACUUUAUUUGAUUUCCUUCGGGACUGAUUAUUUUGUGACUGAGUGGCGGACGGGUGAGUAACGCGUGGGUAACCUGCCUUGUACAGGGGGAUAACAGUUGGAAACGGCUGCUAAUACCGCAUAAGCGCACAGCAUCGCAUGAUGCAGUGUGAAAAACUCCGGUGGUAUAAGAUGGACCCGCGUUGGAUUAGCUAGUUGGUGAGGUAACGGCCCACCAAGGCGACGAUCCAUAGCCGAGCUGAGAGGGUGACCGGCCACAGUGGGACUGAGACACGGCCCAAACUCCUACGGGAGGCAGCAGUGGGGAAUAUUGCACAAUGGGCGAAAGCCUGAUGCAGCGACGCCGCGUGAGCGAAGAAGUAUUUCGGUAUGUAAAGCUCUAUCAGCAGGGAAGAUAAUGACGGUACCUGACUAAGAAGCACCGGCUAAAUACGUG
rnacentral:rRNA from 1 species